AUUUUAAGGCGUGUGGUGGAUGCCUAGACAUCAAGAAGCGAAGAAGGACGUAGCAGCCUGCGAUAAGCCUCGGUUAGGUGGCAAGCAACCUGUGAUCCGGGGAUUUCCGAAUGGGGGAACCCUACCGUGUAAACCACGGUAAGCCGCGCUUUUGCGCGGUAGCAUACCCGCUGAAGUGAAACAUCUCAGUAGGCGGAGGAAAAGAAAUCAAUCGAUAUUCUCCUAGUAGUGGCGAACGAACGGGGAACAGCCCAAACUCUUUUUAGUGUUUAUUGAGGCGGUACAAUGUUUAAUUAUGUUGUGCCAAGACAAUAAUAAAGGUACAAGCUGUUGCUAAUUUGAGGGUUGUAAGAUAAUUGCGUUUCUGCCGCUUGUAGGGCAGAAGGUUAGUUACAAAAAUUAUUAUUAGCUGAAAGCCAUUGGAAGGUGGCUACCAAAGUAGGUGAUAGUCCUGUAGGCAAAAAUAAUAAUUCUGACCAGUAGUUAUUCUUAAGUAAAACGAGACACGUGAAAUCUUGUUUGAAGCUGGGUCGACUAUGACCCAAGGCUAAAUAUUCUUGAUGAUCGAUAGUGAACUAGUACCAUGAGGGAAAGGUUAAAAGCAGCCCGGUGAGGGCGAUGAAAUAGUAUCUGAAACCACAUGUUGACAAGGAAUCGGAGCAUGCUUUACGCAAGUAAAGUGUGCGACGGUGUGCCUAUUGAAGAAUGAGCCAACGAGUUUGUGUAUGUUACUUGUUUAAUCCCGCAUUGCGGGAGAAGGCAAAGGGAAACCGAGUCAUAAUCUGGCGUAUACUCUUUAAUAUUAUUGGCUUGACCUUUGAGCUAAUAAUAUUGAAUGAGUAAGGUAGCAUGUACAAGACCCGAAACCAGGCGAGCUAGCCAUGGACAGGAUGAACCCUGAGUAAAAUCAGGAGGAGGUCCGUACCCACCAGCCGUGCAACACUGGGGGAUGAGCUGUGGCUAGGGGUGAAAUUCCAAUCGAGCUUGGUAAUAGCUGGUUCUCCUCGAAAUAGCUUAUGGGCUAGCGUCUUUUGUUCGCAUCCAGGGGUAGAGCACUGGAAGGAAGUGGAGUGGUUCGCCAUAUCCCUUUCUAUCAAACUCCGAAUACUGGGUGUUUAAAAAAGGCAGUAAGACUACGGGGGCUAAGCUUCGUUAGUCAAAAGGGGAACAGCCCAAAAUCUUAAGUUAAGGUCCCUAAAUCUACGUUAAGUGUGAAAGGUAGUGGAUUUUCUUAUACAACUAGGAGGUUGGCUUAGAAGCAGCCACCCUUUAAAGAAAGCGUAAUAGCUCACUAGUCAAGAAUUUCUGCGCCGAAAAUUUACCGGGGCUCAAACGUAGUACCGAAACUAAGGGCUCCGACGCAAGUCGGAGCGGUAGAGGAGUAUUCUAUAUCCGCUGAAGUCGUUUCGUGAGGAACGGGGGAGGAUAUAGAAGUAAGAAUGUUGGCAUGAGUAGCAAAAAGACCGGUGAGAAACCGGUCCACCGAAAAUCCAAGGUUUCCUGGGCAACGCUAAUCGGCCCAGGGUUAGGCGAUCCUAACCGCGUAUCCAAACGGAUGCGAGGGAUGGAAAAGCAGGUUAAUAUUCCUGCCCUGUACAAAUAUUAUCCUCACACUGACGCAUUUAGAAGUUAAGAGCAUAUUUUGGCUAUAUAUGUUUGCUCCGAUGCAAAUCGGGGCGAAGAAGUGAAACCUCCGGGUGGAGCGAAUUCUUGAUAACUGGGUGCCGAGAAAAGGUGUGUUGUUAAGUAUGUGUGCAACCGUACCGUAAACCGACUCAGGUGGGUGAGGCGAGAAGCCUAAGGUGAACGAGAUAACCCUUAUUCAGGAACUCGGCAAAACAACGGGCGUAACUUCGGGAUAUGCCCUCCCCGGCAGCGCAAGCUUGUCGGGGCGCAGUUAAAGAUCUCUAGCGACUGUUUACCAAAAACACAGGUCCCUGCUAAAGUCGUAAGACUAUGUAUAGGGGCUGAUGCCUGGCCAGUGUCAGAACGUUAAGCGGAGAGGUGCAAGCCUUGAUGCAAAGCGCUGAUGAACGCCGGCGAUAACUAUAAUCGUCCUAAGGUAGCGAAAUUCCUUGACGGGUGAGUUCCGUCCCGCACGAAUGGCAUAACGACUUGAGAACUGUCUUGAUAAGGGGCUCGGCGAAAUUGCAAUACCGGUAAAGAUGCCGGUUACUCACAGUUAGACGAAAAGACCCCGUGAAGCUUUACUAUAGCUUGAUAUUGAUAUAUAAGACGUCCAUGUUCAGAAUAGGUGGGAGCCUUCGGGCACCAGUGAGAUACCACCCUUGGCAUUUUGUAUAUCUAACCCCGCAUCCGCGGGGAACAGUAUCUGGUGGGUAGUUUGAGUGGGGCGCUCGCCUCCUAAAAGGUAACGGAGGCGUUUAAAGGUUGGUUAGCUCCGGAUGGAAACCGGAGCGAUAGAGCAAACUCAUAAACCAGCUUUACUGCAAGACCCAUAUGUCGCGCAGUCACGAAAGUGUAAGUUAGUGAACCGACCAUUUUCAUAUAGGAGAGUGGAAGAUCAACAAAUAAAAGCUACUCCGGGGAUAACAGGCUAGUCUUGCCCAAGCGUCCACAGCGACGGCAAGGUUCGGCACCUCGAUGUCGGCUCAUCGCAUCCUGGGGGUGAACAAGCUCCCAAGGGUUUGGCUGUUCGCCAAUUAAAGCGGUACGUGAGCUGGGUUCA
rnacentral:rRNA from 1 species